rnacentral:pre_miRNA from 2 species
CGGUGGUGUCAUGGUCAUUAAUUGUUGACCGUUCAUAGGAACCAUGCAAUUGCAAUGCAUUGCAGCUUGUGUGGGGUUCAUAUAACGGUCAACAGAGACCCUUGAUAUCAAAGA